CUUACCUACUCCAAACAUGGGGGAGUAUUUGUGUAUAUAUCCAUGUGUUCUUUAAGCACAUGUGAUGCCACUCAAGGUUGGGGUGGGAGAUGAUUAGUAUGUCAAUUAAGGAGUAUUUCAGGAGACCAAGGCUGCCCCUGGCACCUCUCAGUGUGACAGAGAGAUAUAGAAGAGUCAUGGGGAGUUUACCUAGUUUGGUCAAAACAUGCCUCCUGGUACUAAUGAACAAGGGCUUAGGAGUCAGGAGGCGGGGUUCAAAUCCUUGCUCAGCUACUAUGUGACCUUGGCCAACUUCCUUCCAUGGCUCUCCAUUUCCUCAUCUAUCAAACAAAGAUUGUACAAACAAGUCCAACAAACCCACCAUUAUGCCCAUCCUGGCCCAUGAAAGCAAGCCCUCUGCUCUAGCCAAAAUUGGAAUCAUCAGCCUGAGACCCUGCUCCCCCUCCUAUGGCCCUAUCCUAUCCUGAUCAGACUGCACUAGAAUUCUCCCUGGUUCUGAGCUCUGCACUUCUUACCCUGUCCCGGAUGACUGCUCUUCCACCCCCUGAUUUCUCCGUCCUCCUGAUUUUCCUGAGGAGAUGGACCAGCUCUUUGGAGCUGGGGUAUGGGAUCCUCUCUGGCAGCGUGCUGCAGGACAAAGGUGGCUUCAACAGAAGUGCAGGUGAUUUAUGGUUUAUGUGACAUGAGCUGGCCGGUGUUUGAGAACAGUUGUACCAAUGGCUGUCCUGUACCGAACGUCCUCAAGGAGUCAAACGCUUCACAAGCAGUAUUUUACUUACUCUUCUCAAGGCCUGUUUAUGGAGCACCUCCCCCCGCCCAGGAACCACAUCACCUCCUGGAGGGUUUGGACUGUGGACCAGCACAGGCUCAGGUCAAAGAAUGACCUAGAGACACAAGGAGGCCAUGUGGAUGCAAUGUCUGCCGAAGACUCCCUCCUGUCGUGCCAGCUUGUGUUCCAGAAAGAAAGCGGGAGCCCAAGCCAGCAUUUACCCAUGUGGGUCAACUUCCAAUAAGCACAUCAAAGCACCUGAAAAUAUACCCCAGACAGAUCUUUGGGACUGACACAGGAGAACCACCCCAGAAUGUUAUUGAAAACAUUGCCAAUAAAAGUGAUGAACCACUUCUGCA
rnacentral:lncRNA from 12 species